GAAAGAAGCAAUCUGGUUGCUAUGGGCAACUGCACCACUCUGCCUCCACACAGGAUUUGAUAAAUCUCCCACAAAAUCUGAGGAAAUGUCAAUAAUUUGUGUAGAUAACAAGGAACGGGAUAUGGCAAAACCUGAAAUUUACUCUCUACAAUAUCCACAAGGACAUUGGUUCUUCGGGGGACAAACAGAAACACUGGGACAAAGCCUUCCUUAGCUUGUCAUCAAACACAAAUGAUGAUAAUAUAAGCCUAUGAGAACUGUCUUACACAGUAUGGCUAGGCGUUGUAGCAUGUGAGUUUUUCCAAAGUUGUAGUGCCUUGUCGAUCCCUUCCUGAAUGUCAAUUAACCAUAUGUCAGUGCCCGCUGAAUUAAGGGAUAUGCCAUUUUCCUCAAAGAGAUGAGGGGAACCAUCUUCCAGCCCUCUGUGGUGAAUCACCACUACACCCUUCUUUGUAAGAAAUUUUGAGGCGUUAUGGUUCACCUUGAUGCGAGCACGUCCAAUACCAUUCUUGCUUUGUGCUUGUGGCCAUUUAUGUCGGUUUACAAUGUCUGACCAUACAAUAAUUGCUUCUGAAAAUAGAGCCUGCAACCUCAACAUAUCAAACUUUAUGAUUUCUAUCAGCUCCCUUAUCGGAAUAAUCCCUAGAUCAUCCGCUCCGGCGUGCACAACCAGUAUGUCAGGGGGCCGGUCCAGAAGAGCUUGACGGGCAGCUGUAGGCCUAACACAAUCCCAUGUGAUACCAUCUGUUCCCAACCAACGAAUAAUGACCUUCGAACGCGAAAAACCCAACUGGCAUCCAUCUGGCAGGAGUGAUAGUCGUUUCAUUGCCGAAGUAACAAAAGAAUCUCCAAGAAUCCAAACCAAGCAAGGCUGGCAAUCUGCAGAAACAAGGAGCUGUCGGGAGAGGCGGGAUACCAUGGUGGUCAGGGACUGGCUGAGCAACUCCUCACAAAAACAAGAAAGCAACGGUAGUGAGGGGAGACCGUGAGCUUCUGAGGACAGGAAAAAGGUAAGGAAGACUUAUUUAUAUUGUUACACUA